UGUGGCAACACAUGGAGCUGACUGUUACUAAUCGAUCGAGGGCUUGACCAAA
rnacentral:rRNA from 1 species